UGGGUGAUCUGCCCUGCACUUCGGGAUAAAGCCUGGGAAACUGGGUCUAAUACCGGAUAUACCUCAUUGAUCUCCUGGUUGGUGGGGAAAGCUUUUGCGGUGUGGGAUGGGCCCGCGGCCUAUCAGCUUGUUGGUGAGGUUACGGCUCACCAAGGCGUCGACGGGUAGCCGGCCUGAGAGGGUGACCGGCCACACGUGGGACUGAGACACGGCCCAGACUCCGUACGGGAGGCAG
rnacentral:rRNA from 1 species